UGCAGAGGAGCCAAGCGUUGUCCGGAUUGACUGGGCGUAAAGCGCACGCAGGCGGCUGCGCGCGUGGGGUGUGAAAUCUGGCCGCUUAACGGCCAGGCGCCAUCCCAUACGGCGCGGCUUGAGCCUUGCAGAGGGCGGUGGAAUUGCCGGUGUAGUGGUGAAAUGCGUAGAGAUCGGCAGGAACACCCAGGGGGAAACCAGCCGCCUGGGCAAGCGCUGACGCUGAGGUGCGAGAGCGUGGGGAGCGAACCGG
rnacentral:rRNA from 1 species